rnacentral:rRNA from 1 species
CCUACUGGUGGCAGCAGUGAGGAAUAUUGGUCAAUGGGCGCGAGCCUGAACCAGCCAAGUAGCGUGAAGGAUGACUGCCCUACGGGUUGUAAACUUCUUUUAUCAAGGAAUAAAGUGAGGCACGUGUGCCUCUUUGUAUGUACUUUAUGAAUAAGGAUCGGCUAACUCCGUGCCAGCAGCCGCGGUAAUACGGAGGAUCCGAGCGUUAUCCGGAUUUAUUGGGUUUAAAGGGAGCGUAGGUGGGUUGUUAAGUCAGUUGUGAAAGUUGGGGGCUCAACCGUAAAACUGCAAUUGAUACUGGCAGCCUUGAGUACAGUUGAGGUAGGCGGAAUUCGUGGUGUAGCGGUGAAAUGCUUAGAUAUCACGAAGAACUCCGAUUGCGAAGGCAGCCUACUGACCUGCCACUGACAUUGAUGCUCGAAAGUGUGGGUAUCAAACAGGAUUAGAUACCCGAGUAGUC